AGUGAACGCUGGCGGUAGGCCUAACACAUGCAAGUCGAACGGCAGCACAGUAAGAUCUUGCUCUUACGGGUGGCGGGUGGCGGGCGGGUGAGGAAUACAUCGGAAUCUACUUUUUCGUGGGGGAUAACGUAGGGAAACUUACGCUAAUACCGCAUAUGACCUACGGGUGAAAGCAGGGGAUCUUCGCACCUUGCGCGAUUGAAUUAGCCGAUGUCGGAUUAGCUAGUUGGGUGGGUAAAGGCCCACCAAGGCGACGAUCCGUAGCUGGUCUGAGAGGAUGAUCGGCCACACUGGAACUGAGACACGGUCCAGACCCCUACGGGAGGCAGCAGUGGGGAAUAUUGGGCAAUGGGCGCAAGCCUGAUCCAGCCAUACCGCGUGGGUGAAGAAGGCCUUCGGGUUGUAAAGCCCUUUUGUUGGGAAAGAAAAGCAGCAGGUUAAUACGCCGCUGUUCUGACGGUACCCAAAGAAUAAGCACCGGCUAACUACGUG
rnacentral:rRNA from 1 species